GCCCGCUCAGAAACUACAAAGGAAGUUGACGGGGGCCCGGCGACAAGCGGUGGAGUAUGUGGUUUAAUUCGAUGCAACGCGAAGAACCUUACCUGGUCUUGACAUCCCGGAGACCCUUAGGAAACUAGGGGGUGCUUCCAUCUGGAAGAAUCUGGAGACAGGUGCUGCAUGGCUGUCGUCAGCUCGUGUCGUGAGAUGUUGGGUUAAGUCCCGCAACGAGCGCAACCCUUGCCUUUAGUUGCCAGCAGUUCGGCUGGGCACUCUAAAGGGACUGCCGGUGUUAAACCGGAGGAAGGUGGGGAUGACGUCAAGUCCUCAUGGCCUUUAUGACCAGGGCUACACACGUACUACAAUGGCCGAUACAAAGGGCAGCGACACUGCGAGGUGAAGCCAAUCCCGUAAAAUCGGUCUCAGUCCGGAUUGGAGUCUGCAACUCGACUCCAUGAAGUUGGAAUCGCUAGUAAUCGUGGAUCAGCAUGCCACGGUGAAUACGUUCCCGGGCCUU
rnacentral:rRNA from 1 species